GGCGCAAACUUCCUCCUUCCAGCUGCAGCUCACUGUCCACCUACGUUUCCAGGUCUUCCCUUGUAAAUCACAAACAUGAACACUAAAAUGAAACCUGCGCUUCAGGCUCACAUUUAUCAGUAGGACCUGUGCGCCCACGUUCUUAGUUUGAACAUGAAUCCCAAGAGCUCGUUGGUAUUUAAAGGAAGCUCACUGGCAUCGUGUUAUUUUCUGAAGUCAGCGUCUACGCAGCUCUCUUCCGGGACGUUGCUAUGGCGUCUCCCAGAGUCAUUCUGCCCCUCGCCUCUUACUGCUCUCUGAAAAGCGGGGUCCGCACACAGAUUUUUAACUUUGUUGUGGGUCUGGUGGCUCCAAGUUCCGCAACCCCUCUGGGGGGAAGGUGGGCGUGGAACUGAGGGCCCAGCCUCCUUACUCUGCAGCCCCGAGGUAAAGGCACAGGACUCACCUGGGCAUAGGUGUGGGGAGCCGCCCUGACCCGCCCUCCAGGAGCCCGGAGGUGGAGGUCUGUGGAGGAGGCCAGCAGGGGACCUGAGGGGAGAUCCACUGGGUUCCCAUCCAGGGGGCCACACACUUCAAGGAGGGGUGAGCAGAGGGCAAGACGCGGGUCUCUCCUGGGGCUUGAACCCUGCCCUGGCCACAGCGACGCCCCGCACUAGCAGGGCCCAGGGCACUGACACCCUUGAGGCACAGUGGCCUGGAGCAGGAGACACCGGAUCUGCUCCCGAGGUGUCUGGACACAGCUCAGGGCGCCUCAGCACUUCCUGUGUGAUGGGAGCGCCCCGUGGUCCGUGGGUGGCUAGGAGGAGGCUGGUUGCCAGAUGGAUGGGGUCAGAAGCAGGGGCAGAAAGCUGGGCUUGAGCUGUCACUGAACCCUCCCCACUGCGGCCUCCCGGAAACCCAGGUGUCCACAUUCACAGGGAACACGUGCUCAGGGAGGAGGGUGCAGCCCCACUCCACAGCGACAGGCGCCGGAUCCCUUAUUACACCAGGAUACGUCCCUGUGACAUGCCAGGACACGUCACUGACACCGCAGGACACGUCCCUGCAGCAUGUCCCUAGGCGGGGAAUAGAAACCUGAGCACAGGGUGGCGGCCCCGAUUAUAGAUGGUCACUCAGGACUUGGGUGGACCUGCAGCCUCGGGACAGUCUUGGGGACCGAGCCCUCGCCUCAGCGGAGUGCGCCAUCCCCCAGUACUGUCAAACUGUGACCUGUGGGCCCAGGCUGGCAUCCGGGCAUCAGAGAACAGGUUUCCGGGUCACAAACGCCCGGGGGAGGGCUCUGAAGUCCGGCUGCCUUUGCUCUCUCUUCCUUGCCCCAGCAAUAGAUGCCACCAAGCAGAUCCACCUCACCGGUGACCUCGUGCAGCAGCUCCACCGCUGGUUCCUCCAGGGCCUGCAGCUGGCUUUUCAUGAGUGUCUCAAACGUCCUGUAGUUCACGAACCCGGGCAGCUCUUUGCCACAAUGCUGGCUUUCGAAUUGCCAGACUUUACUUUUUAAACCAUCAUAACCUGCAGCAGGAAAGGGUAGCUUUGCAGUAUUUUACAAAAACAAAGUUCUAAUAAUCCCAUAAAUCCCAAUUAUCAAGCCCCAAUCAAAAAUAAAUCUUGAUUUUCAAAUGGGCCACUACCCCAGAACUGCAGUAAAGAAACCAGCAUGAGGAGGAUUCAGCUCCAUGAGCCUGGCUGGGCGUAUAGAGCCAGUGAGCCAGGCACAGAGCAAGAGCAGAGCUCAGGUGCAUGGAUCCUGGGGAAGCACUGGGGUCCGGGUUUGAGCAACCCCA
ensembl:lncRNA